AGGCAAAAGCAGCACAAAGAACGUUUUUUGCUGCAUAAACGUAGUCGAGUCGUUGUCUCCAGUUUUGUCUGAUAUGAAGAAGCAGGUGUGUGCUGCCGACUGAGCGAACAGAAGCUCCAAACCACUGCCGGCUCUUAAAGGAGUGAAACCUGAGACCUGAGAGGCUGUGCUCCUCAUCACCUGCGAUCCACAGGAGAGUCAGACAGGAAACAUCAUAACAUCAGGUCAAAGUGGAUGAUGUCACAGGCUCCAUCAGGUGACCAGGUGCACAGAAACACGCCCCCUCCCUCUGUCACCCCGGGUUGGCUG